rnacentral:lncRNA from 1 species
GGGAAAGCCAAAGAAGUCAAGCACUGAGAGAUGAAGACAAAGAACAAACAUUAUAAGGGACACAGAUUAAUAAAAGAAGCUUGGCCACACUACCUCCCCAUAAGCGACUGCCGUUUGUGUUAUCACAGUGCUGAAGGAGAGCUGGGAGUGAGCUGUCAGCAGAUGGUAAGCAGCAACUCUGGCAGGUCUGCAAAUGAGGGAAUUUCCCUGCCUGAGCCAGUGGGAUCAAGUACUCAUCUUUGCUGGAUUGCUCUUUACAAGUCAAGAGAGCCCAUCAGGUCAAAACAUGUGCUUCACCGUGGCUGGCCUAAAGAGAAAAGCUUUUUUCUCCUGUGAAACACAGACUUUUCUCUGUUCCACUUAAUAGGUACUCUCCAGGAGAUGCAAAGAAAUACAUCUAAAAAAAACAAACCCAGGGCUCAUCUACUUUUCUAGUUUUCAGUCACCCUACCAAAGUGGUGCUUCUGUUCUGCAAACAAACUGGGUGCGAGCGCACUAACGCAUGCACAGACCUCAUUGUAAUCACUUCUUCCUACCAGCUUCUCUGUCUGCUCCCUUUGCUACACACAGUGGAGAGACAGAAGAGAGUGGUUCGUGUAUAAAACUCCACAGGGAUUCUCUGGCUCUUUCUUUUCUCGUUUUGUGGCUUUGCAGCAUACAGGGUAGCUAUGAUGAAGCAAUCACAUAUGCAAAUAUAUAAAGGUGGGUUUUUUUUUUUCUGAAUGAUAAAAUUAUUUUGAAAAUGUGAAAGC